rnacentral:sRNA from 1 species
GCUGGGUGUGGUGGUGCACCCCUGUAAUUUUGGCUGCUCAGGAGGCUGAGGCAGGAGGAUCAUGAGUUCAAAGUCAGCCUCAGCAAUACUGAGGCGCUAAGCAACUCAGUGAGAUCCUGUCUCUA